AUAGGAUCCACCCGAGUCCACAGCGCAACAUGCGUGCGACACUUCCGGUUCUGACUGACAGGACCCCGGCGUCUCCUGGCAACGAGAACGAGGCUGUCCGAGACGCGCCUGUCCGAAGAAUGUCACGGCCGGAGUCACAUGACCGGAUCAGGUGACGCUCCGGGAAGCACGGCACCAGAACAACGCUGGUACAUGGAAGAACAGGAAAUACGCCAAGAUGAGACUUCGACACGUCAGUGAGCUCAAGAACCUUCUCUCUAUAUUCUUCAAGCUCCUGGCUGUCAGUGCUUCCUGAAGACGUCGGCUCAGGAUCCCAACUGCAUUCUCAUAUGCUUUGUGUUUAAUUUUCAUCUCCUUCUGAGCACUUGUCAGGGAUACAUACUGAACUCCCUUCAAUAAAUCGCACCGCCUGGAAUCAGAGUUAAUUUCAUGGAACAUUUGCUGCUGAAAGGAGCCCCUGCAAUACAAAGCCCUAUUGACUAAUGCGCUUUUCUGGGUGAAUUCCACCCAAAAAGAUUUACAUAUUUAUUCUUUCAAUGGGAUCCGAAUCCAUAACAGAAAUUCCAUAGUGUGCUCUGAGCUUCAGAAACCCAUUGAGAUCGAUUGGAUUCUUCUGCAAGCAGAUUCCACUGAUUUUAAUUCAGUGCAGAAUACCCGUAAUGUGCAUGUGCCCUAUCAUGCUGCCUGCAGUUUAGAUUGCAUUUUUAUUGUGACAGGUUUCCUUUAUUGUUGAGAGAAGAAUUACAGUAAAAAAAACAUAUUGCAAAUUAUACUAA